rnacentral:rRNA from 1 species
UACGGAAGGCAGCAGUGGGGAAUAUUGGACAAUGGGCGAAAGCCUGAUCCAGCCAUGCCGCAUGAGUGAAGAAGGCCUUCGGGUUGUAAAGCUCUUUUAGUGAGAAAGAAUAAUGACGGUACUCACAGAAGAAGUCCUGGCUAACUCCGUGCCAGCAGCCGCGGUAAUACGGAGAGGGCUAGCGUUAUUCGGAAUUAUUGGGCGUAAAGAGCGCGUAGGCUGAUUUAGUAAGUUAAAAGUGAAAUCCCAAAGCUUAACUUUGGAAUUGCUUUUUAAAACUGCUAGUCUAGAGAUUGAAAGAGGAUAGAGGAAUUCCUAGUGUAGAGGUGAAAUUCGUAAAUAUUAGGAGGAACACCAGUGGCGAAGGCGUCUAUCUGGUUCAAAUCUGACGCUGAGGCGCGAAGGGCGUGGGGAGCAAACGAGGGAUUAGAUACC